CCCGCGGAGCUCGCUCCCGGGGCUACCCUACUCCCGUAGGGUUUAGAGUCGUCGGGCCUCUCGGAGAAGCUCGGUCCUGAACUCCACCCUUGAAUAAACUACCUUUGUUGCUUUGGCGGGCCGCCUCGUGCCAGCGGCUUCGGCUGUUGAGUGCCCGCCGGAGGACCCCAACUCUUGUUUUUAGUGAUGUCUGAGUACUAUAUAAUAGUUAAAACUUUCAACAACGGAUCUCUUGGUUCCGRCAUCGAUGAAGAACGCAGCGAAAUGCGAUAAGUAAUGUGAAUUGCAGAAUUCAGUGAAUCAUCGAAUCUUUGAACGCACAUUGCGCCCUCUGGUAUUCCGGGGGGCAUGCCUGUUCGAGCGUCAUUAUAACCACUCAAGCUCUCGCUUGGUAUUGGGGUUCGCGGUUUCGCGGCCCCUAAAAUCAGUGGCGGUGCCUGUCGGCUCUACGCGUAGUAAUACUCCUCGCGAUUGAGUCCGGUAGGUCUACUUGCCAGCAACCCCUAAUUU
rnacentral:rRNA from 1 species